UAGGGAAUUUUGCGCAAUGGGGGCAACCCUGACGCAGCGACGCCGCGUGAGUGAAGAAGGCCUUCGGGUUGUAAAGCUCUGUCAGGAGGGACGAAUAAGUGUAGAGAAACAUGCUACAUGAUGACGGUACCUUCAGAGGAAGCACCGGCUAACUCUGUGCCAGCAGCCGCGGUAAUACAGAGGGUGCAAGCGUUAUUCGGAAUUACUGGGCGUAAAGCGCAUGUAGGUUGGAUAUCAAGUCAGGUGUGAAAUUCCGGGGCUCAACUUCGGAAUUGCAUUUGAGACUGGUGUUCUUGAGUCUUGGAGAGGGAGGUGGAAUUCCAGGUGUAGAGGUGAAAUUCGUAGAUAUCUGGAGGAACAUCGGAGGCGAAGGCGGCUUCCUGGCCAAGUACUGACACUGAGAUGCGAGAGCGUGGGUAGCAAACAGG
rnacentral:rRNA from 1 species